rnacentral:rRNA from 1 species
GAUGAACGCUGUCGGCGUGCCUAAUACAUGCAAGUCGAGCGAACAGACGAGGAGCUUGCUCCUCUGACGUUAGCGGCGGACGGGUGAGUAACACGUGGAUAACCUACCUAUAAGACUGGGAUAACUUCGGGAAACCGGAGCUAAUACCGGAUAAUAUAUUGAACCGCAUGGUUCAAUAGUGAAAGACGGUUUUGCUGUCACUUAUAGAUGGAUCCGCGCCGCAUUAGCUAGUUGGUAAGGUAACGGCUUACCAAGGCGACGAUGCGUAGCCGACCUGAGAGGGUGAUCGGCCACACUGUAACUGAGACACGGUCCAGACUCCUACGGGAGGCAGCAGUAGGGAGUCUUCCGCAAUGGGCGAAAGCCUGACGGAGCAACGCCGCGUGAGUGAUGAAGGUCUUCGGAUCGUAAAACUCUGUUAUUAGGGAAGAACAAAUGUGUAAGUAACUAUGCACGUCUUGACGGUACCUAAUCAGAAAGCCACGGCUAACUACGUG